rnacentral:rRNA from 1 species
CAGUCGAGCGGCAGCACGGGUACUUGUACCUGGUGGCGAGCGGCGGACGGGUGAGUAAUGCCUAGGAAUCUGCCUGGUAGUGGGGGAUAACGCUCGGAAACGGACGCUAAUACCGCAUACGUCCUACGGGAGAAAGCAGGGGACCUUCGGGCCUUGCGCUAUCAGAUGAGCCUAGGUCGGAUUAGCUAGUUGGUGAGGUAAUGGCUCACCAAGGCGACGAUCCGUAACUGGUCUGAGAGGAUGAUCAGUCACACUGGAACUGAGACACGGUCCAGACUCCUACGGGAGGCAGCAGUGGGGAAUAUUGGACAAUGGGCGAAAGCCUGAUCCAGCCAUGCCGCGUGUGUGAAGAAGGUCUUCGGAUUGUAAAGCACUUUAAGUUGGGAGGAAGGGCAGUUACCUAAUACGUAUCUGUUUUGACGUUACCGACAGAAUAAGCACCGGCUAACUCUGUGCCAGCAGCCGCGGUAAUACAGAGGGUGCAAGCGUUAAUCGGAAUUACUGGGCGUAAAGCGCGCGUA